CGCCUUUGCAACUUAUAUGAGGAAAAUCAUCUGCAGAUAGGAUGAGUCACGCCUCAACGCUCGGCAACCCGAAGUGCGCCCGCAUCAAGUACUCCUUUCCUCCCUGCCACAGGGUGCGACAAGCUUUUUAGCACAAYGGAAAGACUUGAUUGACCAGACGAUCUCGCUGUUCUCGGGCACCCACUUCACGCUGCCCACUGUGGUCUUGAACUUGGGAACCAUGAGACCAGGGUGCAGCAGCGGUGCGGAUGACAGCAGUUAAUCCAUGUGCUGAGAAAGCAUCCUACCUUUAUCAUGUACUCGAUCCG